AACGAACGCUGGCGGCAGCCUUAACACAUGCAAGUCGAGCGCACCUUCGGGUGAGCGGCGGACGGGUUAGUAACGCGUGGGAACGUGCCCUUCUCUACAGAAUAGCCUCUGGAAACGGAGAGUAAUACCGUAUACGCCCUUUGGGGGAAAGAUUUAUCGGAGAAGGAUCGGCCCGCGUUAGAUUAGGUAGUUGGUGGGGUAACGGCCUACCAAGCCUACGAUCUAUAGCUGGUUUUAGAGGAUGAUCAGCAACACUGGGACUGAGACACGGCCCAGACUCCUACGGGAGGCAGCAGUGGGGAAUCUUAGACAAUGGGGGCAACCCUGAUCUAGCCAUGCCGCGUGAGUGAUGAAGGCCUUAGGGUCGUAAAGCUCUUUCGCCUGUGAUGAUAAUGACAGUAGCAGGUAAAGAAACCCCGGCUAACUCCGUG
rnacentral:rRNA from 1 species